rnacentral:lncRNA from 1 species
UGGAUGGAGGGCAGUGAGAGGAUGUGUGUGAACUUUCUGUCAUGAAGGGCAAUUUGCAGGAACUAAUCAUCUUACAAUAGUUGGUCAUAAGAAAGAAAUCCAUCAGCCAAGCAUCCUGAAUAGUGACAGGUUGACAGAUAUCUACCCACUGUGAUGGACAGAAUUGUGUCCCCCGAAAAAUCCAUAUGUUGAAGUCCUAAACUCAGUAUCUCAGAACGUCUGGGAAGGACAAGAUAAAAGAGACUUCCAAGCAUGGGAAAGAGUAGGCCAUUGCUCCAGUGGCAGUGAGGCUAAGGACAGAAGACAGAGAGAACCAGUAGAGGACCAUCUUCACAGGGACAUGACGGUGGACUCCAGGGAUAGUGAUGUAUGGUAUCUUGUUUUAGAUUUCCUUUUCUCUGUAGUAGUUUGUUGAACAUCAUUACCUCAUGUUGUUGUGUUAGUAAAUAUUGAUGAAUGAAGAGAAGGUUCUGUAGCCAUGCUUUGGGGGAAAGUGGAAUAAAAAGGCUG